rnacentral:rRNA from 1 species
UACGAAGGGGGCUAGCGUUGCCCGGAAUCACUGGGCGUAAAGGGUGCGUAGGCGGGUCUUUAAGUCAGAGGUGAAAGCCUGGAGCUCAACUCCAGAACUGCCUUUGAUACUGAGGAUCUCGAGUUCGGGAGAGGUGAGUGGAACUGCGAGUGUAGAGGUGAAAUUCGUAGAUAUUCGCAAGAACACCAGUGGCGAAGGCGGCUCACUGGCCCGAUACUGACGCUGAGGCACGAAAGCGUGGGGAGCAAACAGG